rnacentral:rRNA from 1 species
AGGAUGAACGCUGGCGGCGUGCCUAAGACAUGCAAGUCGAGUGGGUUUAGGCCCACGGCGAACGGGUGAGUAAUACCUAGGAACUUUUUUCAAGUCGAGGAUAUCCUUCCGAAAGGAAGUGCAAUACUUGAUGUGGCAGCAAUGCUAAAGGAGCAAUCCGCUUGAAGCGAGGCCUGGGCACCAUCAGCUAGUUGGUAAGGUAAUGGCUUACCAAGGCUUUGACGGUUAGCGGAUCUGAGAGGAUGGCCCGCCACACUGGGACUGCGACACGGCCCAGACUCCUACGGGAGGCAGCAGUUUGGAAUUUGGUCAAUGGGGAAACCCUGAACCAGCGACGCCGCGUGGACGAAGAAGGCCUUCGGGUCGUAAAGUCCUUUAGCAGGGAAAAUUUGAUUGUACCUGCAGAAUAAGAGGUUGCUAACUCUGCGCCAGCAGCCGC